UGUAAGUCACUUUUUCCAGUGUUGUAACUUCAAAUUUUGAGAUUGGGUGAUAGGAUUAUACCCUGAAUAUUGUGAGGGGCCAUAUCCAGAAUAAUGUAUAUUUAUUAAACUCAGGUCAACAGUUUGAUGGAACUCUAAAGUAAGGCAAUUAACCACAGAGAUACUGCUUUAGAAAUAAAUGAAGAAUGAGAAGUUACGUUGCAAUUAAAAGGACAGGAAACUCUAAGGAUCCUUCUGAAAGGACAAUCCUGGAAUCUUAAGAUGUUUUUCAAAGGAUACAAUAAGCACACUGAGUUUGUGACAACAGAACACAUAGGCAUCUAUGUUGCUCAGUGAUGGAUGGUUUAUUUUAAUCUACGAUCAUUGACUCAUUGUAAAUGCAGAUAUUAUGUCCCUAGUUCUGCAGCAUCUAUAUAAGAUCAUCAGCUACUUUUAGAAUAAGGGCCAUUUUGCAGUCUUAAAAUGGUAGCAUUUCAUCCUGUACUCAUAGCUGUAAACUAACAGGACUCUCCCUGCAUUUGUUGUAAAGAAAUGAGUUACUAUUAACAAUAAUUUGCUUAUACAAGUGUCUUCAUUUUUGUGAUGCUUUAAUAAAAAGAAAGACAUCCUGUUUUAUGAUAAAUAUAGAAACGAAUGAAGAAUAGCAACAGCUUCAGUAUUGCCAGAAUACCAACAUAGACUUCAAAGUGAAAGCAAGUUAUCCAUGGAAUUGAUUAAAAUAAAAUAUGCUUGUUAAAAGAA